CUAGCAUAGUAAACAGGACUACAAAACAAUUAUGUUAAUACUGCAAACUAAAAGAAAAUGGCAAAAGUGUCCAAGGUGAAGGAAGAGAAAGUUAUCAUAAACACCUGAGACAAGGAUUUAAGGCUUGGCCCAUAUAAACCUUCCACCACAACCUGGCCCUCUUCCCACAAAUGCUGCUUGGAAAGGCGAGAACACUGAUGGUCAACUGUCAGUCCACACUGUGCUGUGACAUGAGCAUGGAAUUCUUCUUUAUUAUGGAAGGCAUGUGAUCCAAGAUGGGCCAAAUAAAUUCAUUCUUCCAGAAGUUCAAACUGUGAGCCAUACCAACAGCAACUGACCAGAGUUGAUCAUCUCUACGGUGUUUUCCUGAAGAAACUGGCCCAUUAGUUCCUGCUACUUAGAUGCUUGGAAUUGUUUUUAUUUCUUAUUCUUCCAAUGAUCCAGUUGUUCACUCUUGAUUCUGUGAGCUUCUGCAUACCCUUCCAAUAAGUUUCAGUUCUACUUGGGUUAA